UACGUAGGGGGCAAGCGUUGUCCGGAUUUACUGGGCGUAAAGAGCGUGUAGGCGGCCAAGCAGGUCCGUUGUGAAAACUGGAGGCUUAACCUCCAGACGUCGACGGAAACCGCGUGGCUAGAGCCGGAAGAGGAGAGUGGAAUUCCUGGUGGUAGCGGUGAAAUGCGCAGAUAUCAGGAAGAACACCAAUGGCGAAGGCAGCUCUCUGG
rnacentral:rRNA from 1 species